UACGGGGGGAGCAAGCGUUGUUCGGAUUUACUGGGCGUAAAGGGCGCGUAGGCGGCCUCUGCAAGUCGACUGUGAAAUCUCCGGGCUUAACCCGGAACGGUCAGCCGAUACUGCAGGGCUAGAGUGCAGAAGGGGCAACUGGAAUUCUCGGUGUAGCGGUGAAAUGCGUAGAUAUCGAGAGGAACACCUGCGGCGAAGGCGGGUUGCUGGGCUGACACUGACGCUGAGACGCGAAAGCGUGGGGAGCGAACCGG
rnacentral:rRNA from 1 species